rnacentral:lncRNA from 1 species
AAGAGGCAGUCCACAAUGAGUCAGUAUCCAGGAAGUAGAGGCGGGAAUGGAAAAGGAAGAUUCCAAGAAUUUUCAAAAACACAAGAAAAGAGCUUUGGACUUCCACAGGCCAUGGACUGGGGAGAGGUAUAAGCCGAUAUAAAUCCAUCUUUUGGGGCUUUGAUUUUAGCCAGACCCUAUCUCCCAUCAUCAGCUGCAAGACGACAGUUCCAAACACAUGCCUAUAAUUGUCCUCGGCGUUGGCUUCCUUCUCGAGGACUUGGGUACUGUUCUUCAUGAGCCCUAAUUUUACAGCAUGUUGGAACGGCUCAACGUUGAAGCCAAAGUGGUACGUGCCAGGUGAACAUCCUCACGGGGCUUGAAAACCAGGAAAGGGAGCCCCUCUCCCAGUGUAGCGGAGCCAGUCCAAGCAGAAGGUGACAAGGAAUGCUGCUGGAACUCAGCAUCCAGUCUCACAGAGCCUGAAGAAAGGCCAGUCAGCUGGUCCUCCUCUCAUGCCUGUUCUGCUCGACACAAAGGACUGGAAGCAUCAGUGUGUCUCUGGAGUCCAGCAUGGAGGUACCGGUGUGUGGCCAGAUGGCUGGAGUUCAGGCUGAAUCUGUUCUUGCCGAUGGCAAGUUCUCUAACUUCCAGCCAGGUGCUUCUCCACUGCCUCCCCGCAACACACAGGGUACAAAUUUAAAGCCAGUUGUCUAGCUUCUGUUGCUACUUGCCUCUGCUUAGAAUAGCUGAGCCGAAUGGAUCUUAGAAAUCUCUCUCUUUUGCAUGUCAAUCAUAUCUGAAUAAAGUGGUUCUUUUACAAAAGAAAAUCUUUUCACUCUCUCUUUUUCUCUCUCCCUCU